rnacentral:rRNA from 1 species
ACUCCUACGGGAGGCAGCAGUGGGGAAUUUUGGACAAUGGGGGCGAACCCUGAUCCAGCAAUGCCGCGUGAGUGAAGAAGGCCCUCGGGUUGUAAAGCUCUUUUGUCAGGGAAGAAACGGUGAUCUCUAAUAUAGAUUGCUAAUGACGGUACCUGAAGAAUAAGCACCGGCUAACUACGUGCCAGCAGCCGCGGUAAUACGUAGGGGUGCAAGCGUUAAUCGGAAUUACUGGGCGUAAAGCGUGCGCAGGCGGUUUUGUAAGUCUGAUGUGAAAUCCCCGGGGCUCAACCUGGGAACUGCAUUGGAGACUGCAAGGCUAGAGUGUGUCAGAGGGGGUAGAAUUCCACGUGUAGCAGUGAAAUGCGUAGAGAUGUGGAGGAAUACCGAUGGCGAAGGCAGCCCCCUGGGAUAACACUGACGCUCAUGCACGAAAGCGUGGGGAGCAAACAGGAUUAGAUACCCUGGUAGGAUAGCC